GACAGAGGGUGCAAACGUUGCUCGGAAUUACUGGGCGUAAAGCGCGUGUAGGCGGGUCGGAAAGUCGGGCGUGAAAUCCCCAGGCUCAACCUGGGAACUGCACUCGAAACUUCCGAUCUAGAGUGGUGGAGAGGGAAGUGGAAUUCCUGGUGUAGAGGUGAAAUGCGUAGAGAUCGGGAGGAACAUCAGUGGCGAAGGCGGUCACCUGGCCUAAAACUGACGCUGAAGCUCGAAAGCGUGGGGAGCAAACAGG
rnacentral:rRNA from 1 species